rnacentral:tRNA from 1 species
UCCUGUGUGGCUCAGUUGGUAGAGCAUGGUGUUUGCAACGCCAGGGUUGUGGGUUCGUAUUCCCACAGGAGGAC